AGUGAACGCUGGCGGUAGGCCUAACACAUGCAAGUCGAACGGCAGCACAGUAAGAGCUUGCUCUUACGGGUGGCGAGUGGCGGACGGGUGAGGAAUACAUCGGAAUCUACUUUUUCGUGGGGGAUAACGUAGGGAAACUUACGCUAAUACCGCAUACGACCUACGGGUGAAAGCAGGGGAUCUUCGGACCUUGCGCGAUUGAAUGAGCCGAUGUCGGAUUAGCUAGUUGGCGGGGUAAAGGCCCACCAAGGCGACGAUCCGUAGCUGGUCGGAGAGGAGGAUCAGCCACACUGGCAGUGAGCCACGCUCCAGACUCCUACGGGAGGCAGCAGUGGGGAACAUUGGACAAUGCUCGCAAGCCUGCUACAGCCCUACCGCGUGGGUCAAGAAGGCCUCCGGCUUGUAAAGCCCUUUUGUUGGUAAAGAACAGCAGCAGGUUAACACCCCGCUGUUCUGACGGUACCCUAAGAAUAAGCACCGGCUAACUUCGUG
rnacentral:rRNA from 1 species